rnacentral:rRNA from 1 species
GACGAACGCUGGCGGCGUGCUUAACACAUGCAAGUCGAACGGAAAGGCUCCAGCUUGCUGGAGUACUCGAGUGGCGAACGGGUGAGUAACACGUGGGUAAUCUGCCCUGCACUCUGGGAUAAGCCUGGGAAACUGGGUCUAAUACUGGAUAUGACCUUUCUCCUUAUGGGGUUUGGUGGAAAGUUUUUCGGUGUAGGAUGAGCCCGCGGCCUAUCAGCUUGUUGGUGGGGUGAUGGCCUACCAAGGCGACGACGGGUAGCCGGCCUGAGAGGGUGAUCGGCCACAUUGGGGCUGAGAUACGGCCCAGACUCCUACGGGAGGCAGCAGUGGGGAAUAUUGCACAAUGGGCGGAAGCCUGAUGCAGCGACGCCGCGUGAGGGAUGACGGCCUUCGGGUUGUAAACCUCUUUCAGCAGGGACGAAGCGUAAGUGACGGUACCUGCAGAAGAAGCACCGGCUAACUAUGUG